AUUAUGCCAUGUCAGUGGGCUAACAUGAACAAUAGCAGGGACUGAAACUGGCACGACAAAACAUAAUGCAGCCAUUAAUAACGUAUAAUUCAUUGCACCUGUGCGUUUCCUGCCAUGACAUGAUAGGUCAAAUUGUUGUGAGUGAAAAAGGGCCUACUGGGUCCAAUCAAGCUUGAAUUACCCGGAGCAGCUAGCAGUUUAAUGCUACAAGAGGAGAUGCAAUUUAACAGGAACCAACUGACGCUGUAUGAGACCUUGCCGAUAUCAUUUGUUGUUGGAUUAAAAGCAUCCAAGCUCAGCUGAAGUGUAUGCUGACGCUGUCUGUCGUCACACGUCUUGAUGACUUCUCAUCUGCUAACCAGCCUCCAUUAUGCAUCUCCAGUUGUUAAAGAAGCAGAAUGCUGUCAAUUUGCACUCAAAAUGCUGGGCAUGUUUUUUAUGGGCCUUGUCUGGCGCAUUUUUAGUUCAUUUAACCACUGGUAGCACAGUAUUAAAUGUCUGAAAAUGCUCUUAUACCGUUUUUUCCAAACAACAAUUGUUUACAUCCUUGUGUUUUCUGUUAUACUGAAUGCCCUCUGGCAUUGCUAUAUAAUGUUUUUUGUAGUGUCACAGCCACAAAUGAGCCUGUAAGCAAAGGUUGAGAUAAUCCUCUUAAUCUGGAGACAUAAUGACUUGUAAAAGCAGUGGCAGUGACGGGGAUAUUGUGCUGUUACCUUGGUGUAGCAUAAAGGCUUAUUUGCAGGUUGGUGUGUGUGUGUGUGUGUGUUUGUGUGUGUGUCCACUUGUGGAAGAAAGUCAAUCUAAUAACAGAUAGCAGCCUUCAGUAAUGUGAGUGUUUCAACACAUGGUGGGGGGAAAAAAAGCGUAGAGGGAGGAUGGAGGAAGCGGAGGACGAAUAGAUGAGAUCUACAGAAAGAUCUGAUACGAUACUAUCUGCAGCACUGCCGUCACCCAUUCACGCUUGGUAACAAUGAGGAGCUUUGUGCCGAAGAUAAAAACCAUAAAACCACCCACUGCACACACACAAAUGCAUAAACUCAGAUGGUCAGUGGGUCAGUGGAGCUGGUGACUGUUUAUCAGGAGGUGAGAAGAACGAAGUGGAGGAAGUGGGAGCAGUUGUGCUUAAAAUGUGGGGUCUUUGCAUGUGUGUGUGAGCUAUUCAUGGUCAGCAAUGGACAAAGUGUAUAUAGAUUUUCUAUUCAUUUUUGAGUCAGAAAAUAAAUCGCAGGAAUUACACUUAAUUGUGUCAACAACAGGAACGACUAAAUUGUAAUUUGUAAGAAACAGUUGCAGGAGAACAGUACUUUUGUGUUGUAAAACACGGAUAUAAGAUUUGAGAAAGGAGCUUUUAUAAAAUGCUACUUUCCACAUCAAACAGCGUGAGAAGAAUAAAAAUGUGAUGGGAAUGAAAUUACUACUUAAUUAGCAUGUCUACAUUCACAAAAUCAUCUGAGUUACACUAAAUAGACAGAUUAAGGUAAUAUUUCAAAUAAAGAGCUUAUAAUGUAUAUGUUUAUAUGAGGCACAAGAAAUGUAUGUGUUUUCACAUUUUUUUUUUAAGGAUUUAAGGUGCCUACAGGUUAAUAGGAAAUAAAGCUUUGAUAUAAAACUAGAAGCACUUUUACU